UGGGGAAUAUUGGACAAUGGGCGCAAGCCUGAUCCAGCCAUGCCGCGUGGAUGAUGAAGGCCCUAGGGUUGUAAAGUCCUUUCGGCGGGGAAGAUAAUGACGGUACCCGCAGAAGAAGCCCCGGCUAACUUCGUGCCAGCAGCCGCGGUAAUACGAAGGGGGCUAGCGUUGCUCGGAAUCACUGGGCGUAAAGCGCACGUAGGCGGAUUCUUAAGUCGGUGGUGAAAUCCUGGAGCUCAACUCCAGAACUGCCUCCGAUACUGAGAGUCUUGAGUCCGGGAGAGGUGAGUGGAACUGCGAGUGUUAGAGGUGAAAUUCGUAGAUAUUCGGAAGAACACCGGUGGCGAAGGCGGCUCACUGGCUCGAUACUGACACUGAGGUGCGAAAGCGUGGGGAGCAAACAGGAUUAGAUACCCCCGUAGUCCCUGAGCGGGCUGGCAAGGCGCAU
rnacentral:rRNA from 1 species